rnacentral:rRNA from 1 species
GAUGAACGCUGGCGGCGUGCCUAAUACAUGCAAGUCGAGCGAACAGACGAGGAGCUUGCUCCUCUGACGUUAGCGGCGGACGGGUGAGUAACACGUGGAUAACCUACCUAUAAGACUGGGAUAACUUCGGGAAACCGGAGCUACUACCGGAUAAUAUAUUGAACCGCAUGGUUCAAUAGUGAAAGACGGUUUGGCUGUCACUUAUAGAUGGAUCCGCGCCGCAUUAGCUAGUUGGUAAGGUAACGGCUUACCAAGGCAACGAUGCGUAGCCGAGCUGAGAGGGUGAUCGGCCACACUGGAACUGAGACACGGUCCAGACUCCUACGGGAGGCAGCAGUAGGGAAUCUUCCGCAAUGGGCGAAAGCUUGACGGAGCCACGCCGCGUGAGUGAUGAAGGUCUUCGGAUCGUAAAACUCUGUUAUUAGGGAAGAACAAAUGUGUAAGUAACUAUGCACGUCUUGACGGUACCUAAUCAGAAAGCCACGGCUAACUACGUG